GACGAACGCCGGGCGGCGUGCCUAAUACAUGCAAGUCGAACGCACGAAGUUGAAGAGCUUGCUCUUUAACCAAUGAGUGGCGGACGGGUGAGUAACACGUGGGUAACCUGCCCAUUAGAGGGGGGUAACAUUCGGAAACGGAUGCUAAUACCGCAUAGUUUUCAGGGAUCGCAUGAUUCUUGAAGGAAAGGUGGCUUCGGCUACCACUAAUGGAUGGACCCGCGGCGUAUUAGCUAGUUGGUGAGGUAAUGGCUCACCAAGGCAAUGAUACGUAGCCGACCUGAGAGGGUGAUCGGCCACACUGGGACUGAGACACGGCCCAGACUCCUACGGGAGGCAGCAGUAGGGAAUCUUCCGCAAUGGACGAAAGUCUGACGGAGCAACGCCGCGUGAGUGAAGAAGGUUUUCGGAUCGUAAAACUCUGUUGUUAAAGAAGAACAAGGAUGAGAGUAACUGCUCAUCCCCUGACGGUAUUUAACCAGAAAGCCACGGCUAACUACGUGCCAGCAGCCGCGGUAAUACGUAGGUGGCAAGCGUUGUCCGGAUUUAUUGGGCGUAAAGCGAGCGCAGGCGGUUCUUUAAGUCUGAUGUGAAAGCCCCCGGCUCAACCGGGGAGGGUCAUUGGAAACUGGAGAACUUGAGUGCAGAAGAGGAGAGUGGAAUUCCACGUGUAGCGGUGAAAUGCGUAGAUAUGUGGAGGAACACCAGUGGCGAAGGCGACUCUCUGGUCUGUAACUGACGCUGAGGCUCGAAAGCGUGGGGAGCAAACAGG
rnacentral:rRNA from 1 species